AACGAACGCUGGCGGCGUGGAUAAGACAUGCAAGUCGAACGCUAAUACAUCAGUAGCAAUAUUGGUGUGUUGGAGUGGCGAAAGGGUGAUUAACACGUGGGCAAGUUACCGCGAGACCCAGGAUAACCUGCCGAAAGGCAGGCUAAUACUGGAUGACACCUUGGACCGGCAUCGGUUCAAGCUCAAAGUUGGGGACCGCAAGGCCUGACGACUCGUGAUACGCCCGCGUCCCAUCAGCUAGUUGGCGGGGUAAAAGCCCACCAAGGCUAAGACGGGUAGCUGGUCUAAGAGGACGACCAGCCACACUGGAACUGAGACACGGUCCAGACACCUACGGGUGGCAGCAGUCGAGAAUUUUUCACAAUGGGCGAAAGCCUGAUGGAGCGACGCCGCGUGGGGGAUGAAUGGCUUCGGCCCGUAAACCCCUGUCAUUUGCGACUAAACUCUGGAGUUUAAUAGACUCCAGACUGAAAGUAGCAGAAGAGGAAGGGACGGCUAACUCUGUGCCAGCAGCCGCGGUAAUACAGAGGUCCCAAGCGUUGUUCGGAUUUACUGGGCGUAAAGGGUGCGUAGGUGGUGUUAUUAGUCGGGUGUUAAAUCCUGGGGCUCAUCCUCAGAAUCGCAUUCGAAACGGUAACACUAGAAGAAGUCAGAGGUAAGCAGAACUCUCGGUGUAGGGGUGAAAUCCGUUGAUAUCGAGGGGAAUACCAAAUGCGAAGGCAGCUUACUGGGACUUUCUUGACGCUGAGCACGAAAGCGUGGGUAGCGAACGGGAUUAGAUACCCCGGUAGUCCACGCCGUAAACGAUGAAUGCUAGCUGUGAGAGGUAUCGACCCCCCUCGUAGCGAAGCUAACGCGUUAAGCAUUCCGCCUGUGGAGUACGGUCGCAAGACUAAAACAUAAAGGAAUUGACGGGGGCCCGCACAAGCGGUGGAGCAUGUGGUUUAAUUCGACGAUACGCGAGGAACCUUACCUGGGCUAGAAUGCCUCUGACCGCUGCCGAAAGGUGGUUUCUCUUCGGAGCAGAGUGCAAGGUGCUGCAUGGUUGUCGUCAGCUCGUGCCGUGAGGUGUUGGGUUAAGUCCCGCAACGAGCGCAACCCCUAUGAUUAGUUGCCAACGGGUCAAGCCGGGGACUCUAAUCAAACUGCCUGCGCAAGCAGCGAGGAAGGUGGGGACGACGUCAAAUCAUCAUGGCCCUUACGCCCAGGGCGACACACGUGCUACAAUGGGUGGUACAGCGGGUUGCGAAGCAGCGAUGCAGAGCCAAUCUCUAAAAGCCACUCUCAGUUCGGAUCGGAGUCUGCAACUCGACUCCGUGAAGUUGGAAUCGCUAGUAAUCGCGGAUCAGCCAUGCCGCGGUGAAUACGUUCCCGGGCCUUGUACACACCGCCCGUCAAGCCAUGGGAGCCGGGGGCGCCUGAAGUCGGCUGAUAAGCUGCCUAGGGCGAAACUGGUGACUGGGGCU
rnacentral:rRNA from 1 species